rnacentral:tRNA from 1 species
GAGGGUGUAGUUCAGUGGUAGAGUACUUGUCUAGCAUGUAUGAAGCCCUGGAUUUGAGUCCCAGCACUGCUA